AGUCCCGGGUCCGAACCACCAGGCCAUCGACCUAUCCGAACACGUCGUCCUCCUGAGCGGUUCCAAUACUCCAGGCUGGGCCAUCCACUGCUCCAAAGUAUCCAAUCUUUGUUCCAUGGACUAAGCACCGCCUUUAAUUAUGUUGUUGAAAUUGAUGAGGUCCAACCUUCCCUUACCAGUAAACAAGCCGUCUGCCGUCAGCCCGCUGCAUGUACAGGGCCGUACAUGAGUUCAGGGGGGGAACGUGUAGCCCUCAGCUCCUAAGUCCUUUUAAUUUGACGGGCCACGCCCUGUGCGACAUCACCCCAACUCUAUUUACCUGCGGAGUCAGAGUGCCACUCCCUCCUCCAUUCCCCACCUGUGGCUGUUGCAUGCUCUGUUGGCGUCUCGUUUAAAAAAAAAGCUACUGGAUCUUCCUAAAGAUCUAAUAUUAUAAGCUGUCUUUUGGACUCGCUUCUCUCUCACAACUUGGGCCAAACCGCUCAUGUUGUCUUUCAUUAAUACCACUACACAGACGGAGAUCAACUUGUCAUCCCUUCAACGGUCAGGUUUUUUUUUUAUGCCAGAAAAAGGACAUCACCCUCACUACAAUCUGGUUCACAACAACUUUUUUUUCUUCUAAUUCAACUGAAGAUGGCGAGCUAAGACCUCUACCUGUGCGGUAGGAUACAGACUCUUCUUUCCUAUAAGGAUAAAAACUAUUCUCUUCCCAACCCUGGAUUACCAUAGCGUAUGGACUAACAAUCUAACCUAACUGAACCUUGGGGACAAUUAAUCAAAAACUGUUUUGUUAUUAAUGUUUGUGUGUUUGUUGUUUUUUUUUUUUGUGUGUGUCUUGGCCACUUUAAUACAAAACUAGUUAAACCUUAUUUUUGUCUCUGUGAUUAUUCACACCUCGGGCUCCUCAACGAACCCUCUUCUGGUAACAUCUUUCUACAUCUAUAUAGUCAGUUCCUUGUCAUUAGCCUUUAAC